UACGGAGGGUGCGAGCGUUGUCCGGAAUCACUGGGCGUAAAGGGCGCGUAGGCGGCCUGAUAAGUAGGGGGUGAAAUCCUGCGGCUUAACCGCAGGGCUGCCUUCUAAACUGUCAGGCUCGAGCACAGUAGAGGCAGGUGGAAUUCCCGGUGUAGCGGUGGAAUGCGUAGAUAUGCGGAGGAACACCGAUGGCGAAGGCAAUCCCCUGGGCCUGCACUGACGCUCAUGCACGAAAGCGUGGGGAGCAAACAGG
rnacentral:rRNA from 1 species